AUUGAACGCUGGCGGCAUGCCUUACACAUGCAAGUCGAACGGCAGCACGGGUGCUUGCCCCUGGUGGCGAGUGGCGCACGGGUGAGUAAUACAUCGGGACAUGUCCUGUAGUGGGGUAUAGCCCGGCGAAAGCCGGAUUAAUACCGCAUACGAACUUCGGAUGAAAGCGGGGGACCUUCGGGCCUCGCGCUUUGGGGUUGCUCGAUGGCUGAUUAGCUAGUUGGUGGGGUAAUGGCAUACCAAGGCAACGAUCAGUAGCCGGUCUGAGAGGACGACCAGCCACACUGGGACUGAGACACGGCCCAGACUCCUACGGGAGGCAGCAGUGGGGAAUUUUGGACAAUGGGCGAAAGCCUGAUCCAGCAAUGCCGCGUGUGUGAAGAAGGCCUUCGGGUUGUAAAGCACUUUUGUCCGGAAAGAAAUACUUGGCCCUAAUACGGUCGGGGGAUGACGGUACCGGAAGAAUAAGCACCGGCUAACUACGUG
rnacentral:rRNA from 1 species